rnacentral:lncRNA from 1 species
AUGGGUAGACGGGCAGCUGAUCACACCACUCCAGUGCCAGUUCUAGGAGAGCCUGCACUUGUAGGAACACGCAUUUGGAGGAGCGUGGCAAAUGGGACCAGUAGUAUGGCUGCCCUGACACUGUCUCAUCACUGUAAUGUCGGUGUGCAAACAUCACCUGCAAUGAGAAACAACCAACUACAGCUAAACGGCAAACAUGUGGAUGCUUGUAGAAGUCGAUCAGAAAAUAAAGUGAUCAUCCCACCUAAUGGCCACAUCCCAAACAAAGCUGGUAAAAAGGAGGAUAAUGGGAAAGAAAAAACGAAAAGUAUAAUUUCUAAACACAAAAGUCUGGAGACUAAAAUGAAAAAGGGUGUGACUUUUGAGGGAUUGGAGAGGGAUAUUUAUAAAAACAUUAGGGAAGGAAUUCAGUGCCAUAAUUGUGCAACCAGAACCAGUCCUCCAUUGGGUGUGGAUAACAGCAAGUUAAAACAAAGAAGGAAAUGUCACUUCACCAAUGGGAGCGUGGUUGACUCAGAGGUAAUAGGUGGGAUCAGCAGUGAAAGCUGUAAAGGGGAGGAGUCUACCACAGGAAAGAAAAAAAUGUUACCUACUCACUCACCUCCUCACAGACCUCCUGUGACCAUCUGCAGCACUUGUGGAGGAAGACAGAAUCCAGCACCUCCUGGACUCUACAGCCAAAUAAGGAUGAUUACACAGCCAACUUCUGCAGGUUCUCUGGGACUCCAGUCGAGACAUUCAUCCCCUCUUUACCCUAGGAAUGACGUGCAGGAAUGCACGCAGAUAGGAAGGCACACCAGCUGCAGUGCUACACAGUCAGACCAGCACCUCAUGAGUCCUAACCUUCAUCCUUAUCUCAACAUGAAUAUAAACAAGGAAUGGCCAUUAUCUCUGCUGCCUGCUCAGCAGAGUGAGGAAUCAAACCUCACUAAUCAUCACGCAGUCAAGGGGGAAUCUAGUGCUGACAUACACAUUAAUCAUACCAGUCGCUCAUCGGCUCUAAACACACACAUUCUUACUGUUACCGUGAAAGAGGAUAGAGCCUCAACAAAGGUCUUAAACACACACUUGAACGCUCACAAACCUCACAACUCUUGUCCCCGCAGACCUCCUGUGACCGUCAUCCCUCCACAAACACACAAAAACAGCCUGACAGAGAAACUAGAAGCCACACAGGUGACAAAUGCCAGAACACCACACACAAACACUCACUUUAGAUCAUCUCACCAGCCACACCCUCAUGAGAAACAACCAACUCAAGGAAACCAAGUCGCACCUACACACUCAGAGUCCCCCCAGCCACAAAAUGAAACACACAUCAGACCUUUGCAGACUACUAUGAAACAACAAAUGUUCCCCCAAACUAGCACACCGCAGAAAUCCAAUGCACUUUCGAAAUGCCCACGGUUAAAUCAGACAAGCACACUUUCAAAAUCCCCUGCCUGUUUUAAUUUACAUCCAAACGUUAAACGCCAAAGUUGUGUGAAUGAAGGUGUCGUAUCCUCCACUGCUUCAAACAUUCACAGACCGCUUCAAUUCCCUAAUGGAUUAGAGUCCAAGUUUGACACGAACACUAAACCAUCAAUGUGCUCACACACAAAUUUCGGCAUUAAACCUCAAAGCGGGACGGCAAAUCUGUGCUGA